rnacentral:rRNA from 1 species
AGUGAACGCUGGCGGUAGGCCUAACACAUGCAAGUCGAACGGCAGCACAGUAAGAGCUUGCUCUUACGGGUGGCGAGUGGCGGACGGGUGAGGAAUACAUCGGAAUCUACUUUUUCGUGGGGGGUAACGUAGGGAAACUUACGCUAAUACCGCAUACGACCUACGGGUGAAAGCAGUGGAUCUUCGGACCUUGCGCGAUUGAAUGAGCCGAUGUCGGAUUAGCUAGUUGGCGGGGUAAAGGCCCACCAAGGCGACGAUCCGUAGCUGGUCUGAGAGGAUGAUCAGCCACAAUGGAACUGAGACACGGUCCAGACUCCUACGGGAGGCAGCAGUGGGGAAUAUUGGACAAUGGGCGCAAGCCUGAUCCAGCCAUACCGCGUGGGUGAAGAAGGCCUUCGGGUUGUAAAGCCCUUUUGUUGGGAAAGAAAAGCAGCAGGUUAAUACCCCGCUGUUCUGACGGUACCCAAAGAAUAAGCACCGGCUAACUUCGUG